GGUCAAGCUACAAAGGGCUCACGGCGGAUACCUUGGCACACAGAGGCGAUGAAGGACGUGGUUACCUGCGAUAAGUCUCGGGGAGCUGGAAACACGCUUUGAUCCGGGAAUUUCCGAAUGGGGCAACCCCUAGAACGGUCCGCUGAAUCCAUAGGCGGACGCGAGCCAACCCAGCGAACUGAAACAUCUUAGUAGCUGGAGGAAAGGAAAGUAAAAACGACUCCCUA
rnacentral:rRNA from 1 species